rnacentral:rRNA from 1 species
AGUGACGAUAGCCUAGGAGAUACACCUGUACCCAUGCCGAACACAGAAGUUAAGCCCUAGAACGCCGGAAGUAGUUGGGGGUUGCCCCCUGUGAGAUAGGGAAGUCGCUUANNN